rnacentral:rRNA from 1 species
UCCUGACUGACCGAUAGUGAACCAGUACCGUGAGGGAAAGGCGAAAAGAACCCCGGCGAGGGGAGUGAAAAAGAACCUGAAACCGUGUACGUACAAGCAGUGGGAGCACGCUUAGGCGUGUGACUGCGUACCUUUUGUAUAAUGGGUCAGCGACUUAUAUUCUGUAGCAAGGUUAACCGAAUAGGGGAGCCGAAGGGAAACCGAGUCUUAACUGGGCGUUAAGUUGCAGGGUAUAGACCCGAAACCCGGUGAUCUAGCCAUGGGCAGGUUGAAGGUUGGGUAACACUAACUGGAGGACCGAACCGACUAAUGUUGAAAAAUUAGCGGAUGACUUGUGGCUGGGGGUGAAAGGCCAAUCAAACCGGGAGAUAGCUGGUUCUCCCCGAAAGCUAUUUAGGUAGCGCCUCGUGAAUUCAUCUCCGGGGGUAGAGCACUGUUUCGGCAAGGGGGUCAUCCCGACUUACCAACCCGAUGCAAACUGCGAAUACCGGAGAAUGUUAUCACGGGAGACACACGGCGGGUGCUAACGUCCGUCGUGAAGAGGGAAACAACCCAGACCGCCAGCUAAGGUCCCAAAGUCAUGGUUAAGUGGGAAACGAUGUGGGAAGGCCCAGACAGCCAGGAUGUUGGCUUAGAAGCAGCCAUCAUUUAAAGAAAGCGUAAUAGCUCACUGGUCGAGUCGGCCUGCGCGGAAGAUGUAACGGGGCUAAACCAUGCACCGAAGCUGCGGCAGCGACGCUUAUGCGUUGUUGGGUAGGGGAGCGUUCUGUAAGCCUGCGAAGGUGUGCUGUGAGGCAUGCUGGAGGUAUCAGAAGUGCGAAUGCUGACAUAAGUAACGAUAAAGCGGGUGAAAAGCCCGCUCGCCGGAAGACCAAGGGUUCCUGUCCAACGUUAAUCGGGGCAGGGUGAGUCGACCCCUAAGGCGAGGCCGAAAGGCGUAGUCGAUGGGAAACAGGUUAAUAUUCCUGUACUUGGUGUUACUGCGAAGGGGGGACGGAGAAGGCUAUGUUGGCCGGGCGACGGUUGUCCCGGUUUAAGCGUGUAGGCUGGUUUUCCAGGCAAAUCCGGAAAAUCAAGGCUGAGGCGUGAUGACGAGGCACUACGGUGCUGAAGCAACAAAUGCCCUGCUUCCAGGAAAAGCCUCUAAGCAUCAGGUAACAUCAAAUCGUACCCCAAACCGACACAGGUGGUCAGGUAGAGAAUACCAAGGCGCUUGAGAGAACUCGGGUGAAGGAACUAGGCAAAAUGGUGCCGUAACUUCGGGAGAAGGCACGCUGAUAUGUAGGUGAAGUCCCUCGCGGAUGGAGCUGAAAUCAGUCGAAGAUACCAGCUGGCUGCAACUGUUUAUUAAAAACACAGCACUGUGCAAACACGAAAGUGGACGUAUACGGUGUGACGCCUGCCCGGUGCCGGAAGGUUAAUUGAUGGGGUUAGCGCAAGCGAAGCUCUUGAUCGAAGCCCCGGUAAACGGCGGCCGUAACUAUAACGGUCCUAAGGUAGCGAAAUUCCUUGUCGGGUAAGUUCCGACCUGCACGAAUGGCGUAAUGAUGGCCAGGCUGUCUCCACCCGAGACUCAGUGAAAUUGAACUCGCUGUGAAGAUGCAGUGUACCCGCGGCAAGACGGAAAGACCCCGUGAACCUUUACUAUAGCUUGACACUGAACAUUGAGCCUUGAUGUGUAGGAUAGGUGGGAGGCUUUGAAGUGUGGACGCCAGUCUGCAUGGAGCCGACCUUGAAAUACCACCCUUUAAUGUUUGAUGUUCUAACGUGGACCCGUAAUCCGGGUUGCGGACAGUGUCUGGUGGGUAGUUUGACUGGGGCGGUCUCCUCCUAAAGAGUAACGGAGGAGCACGAAGGUUGGCUAAUCCUGGUCGGACAUCAGGAGGUUAGUGCAAUGGCAUAAGCCAGCUUGACUGCGAGCGUGACGGCGCGAGCAGGUGCGAAAGCAGGUCAUAGUGAUCCGGUGGUUCUGAAUGGAAGGGCCAUCGCUCAACGGAUAAAAGGUACUCCGGGGAUAACAGGCUGAUACCGCCCAAGAGUUCAUAUCGACGGCGGUGUUUGGCACCUCGAUGUCGGCUCAUCACAUCCUGGGGCUGAAGUAGGUCCCAAGGGUAUGGCUGUUCGCCAUUUAAAGUGGUACGCGAGCUGGGUUUAGAACGUCGUGAGACAGUUCGGUCCCUAUCUGCCGUGGGCGCUGGAGAACUGAGGGGGGCUGCUCCUAGUACGAGAGGACCGGAGUGGACGCAUCACUGGUGUUCGGGUUGUCAUGCCAAUGGCACUGCCCGGUAGCUAAAUGCGGAAGAGAUAAGUGCUGAAAGCAUCUAAGCACGAAACUUGCC